CCUACGUGAGGCAGCAGUGAGGAAUAUUGGUCAAUGGCCGGAAGGCUGAACCAGCCAAGCCGCGUGAAGGACGAAGGUGCCAAGCAUUGUAAACUUCUUUUGUCAAGGGACAAAAUCAGGCUCGAGAGCCUGACCGAGGGUACUUGAAGAAAAAGCAUCGGCAAACUCCGGGCCAGCAGCCGCGGUAAUACGGAGGAGGCGAGCGUUAUCCGGAUUUAUUGGGGUUAAAGGGGGCGUAGGCGGGCUGGUAAGUCAGCGGUAAAAGCCCGGGGCUCAACCCCGGCGAGCCGUUGAAACUGGCUGUCUUGAGAUGUCGAGAGGUAUGCGGAAUGCGCAGGGUAGCGGUGAAAUGCUUAGAUAUUGCGCAGAACUCCGAUUGCGAAGGCGGCCUGCUGGACUGCAACUGACGUUGAGGCCCGAAAGCGUGGGGAGCAAACAGGAUUAGAUACCCGGGUAGUC
rnacentral:rRNA from 1 species